rnacentral:rRNA from 1 species
GACGAACGCUGGCGGCAGGCCUAACACAUGCAAGUCGAGCGAGCGGCGGACGGGUGAGAAUUGUAUGGGGACUGCCCGAUAGAGGGGGAUAACUCCUGGAGACGGUGGCUCAUACCGCAUACUGUCGGAUAACCCAUAUGGGAUUAGCUAGUAGGUAAGGUAAUGUCGUACCAAGGGGACGAUCCCUAGCUGGUCUGAGAGGAUGAUCAGCCACACUGGGACUGAGAAACGGCCCAGACUCCUACGGAGGCAGCAGUGGGGAAUAUUGGACAAUGGGCGCAAGCCUGAUGCAGCCAUGCCGCGUGUAUGAAGAAGGCCUUAGGGUUGUAAAGUACUUGCGGUAGGGAGGCGUUACCGGAAGAAGAAGCACCGGCUAACUCCGUGCCAGCAGCCGCGGUAAUAC